AUUGAACGCUGGCGGCAGGCCUAACACAUGCAAGUCGAGUGGCAGCGGGAAAGUAGCUUGCUACUUUUGCCGGCGAGCGGCGGACGGGUGAGUAAUGCCUGGGGAUCUGCCCAGUCGAGGGGGAUAACUACUGGAAACGGUAGCUAAUACCGCAUACGCCCUACGGGGGAAAGCAGGGGACCUUCGGGCCUUGCGCGAUUGGAUGAACCCAGGUGGGAUUAGCUAGUUGGUGAGGUAAUGGCUCACCAAGGCGGCGAUCCCUAGCUGGUCUGACAGGAUGACCAGCCACACUGGAACUGAGACACGGUCCAGACUCCUACGGGAGGCAGCAGCGGGGAAUAUUGCACAAUGGGGGAAACCCUGAUGCAGCCAUGCCGCGUGUGUGAAGAAGGCCUUCGGGUUGUAAAGCACUUUCAGCGAGGAGGAAAGGUUGGUAGCUAAUAACUGCCAGCUGUGACGUUACUCGCAGAAGAAGCACCGGCUAACUCCGUGCCAGCCGCCGCGGUAAUAC
rnacentral:rRNA from 1 species